rnacentral:snRNA from 1 species
GGAGGUGAGGGCCAUCUGCCUGCGACAUCGUCACCCCAUUGAUCGCCAGGGUUGAUUCAACUGAUCUGGCUGGCUAGGCGGGUGUCCCCUCCUCCCCUCACCACUCCAUGUGCGUCCCUCCUGAGGCUGCACACUUGGUUGAAGAGGACGACCUUCCCCAUAGAAGGAGGAUCGUCCUUCGGUCAAGGGUAUACGAGUAGCUGUGCUCUCCUGCUGGAACCUCCAAACAAGUCUAAGGAAAGGCUUCUCAGAGAAAAGGAAAGGAGUUAUCCAGAUGAAAAAGUAAAGAAGAACAUUCU